AAUCUGUGGUGUGGACAAUCCCCCUGAAAGAAUUUGAAUCUGAUCCAUGCAUCUUUGAAAGACUCUCCAAUCUUCUGUGCGAAUGUGGCGAUUUUGUCCUCAAGUCU